GUAGAGUUGAAUCUGGCUCAGAUUGAACGCUGGCGGCAGGCCUAACACAUGCAAGUCGAGCGGUAGCACAGAGAGCUUGCUCUCGGGUGACGAGCGGCGGACGGGUGAGUAAUGUCUGGGAAACUGCCUGAUGGAGGGGGAUAACUACUGGAAACGGUAGCUAAUACCGCAUAAUGUCGCAAGACCAAAGUGGGGGACCUUCGGGCCUCAUGCCAUCAGAUGUGCCCAGAUGGGAUUAGCUAGUAGGUGGGGUAACGGCUCACCUAGGCGACGAUCCCUAGCUGGUCUGAGAGGAUGACCAGCCACACUGGAACUGAGACACGGUCCAGACUCCUACGGGAGGCAGCAGUGGGGAAUAUUGCACAAUGGGCGCAAGCCUGAUGCAGCCAUGCCGCGUGUGUGAAGAAGGCCUUCGGGUUGUAAAGCACUUUCAGCGGGGAGGAAGGCGGUAAGGUUAAUAACCUUGGCGAUUGACGUUACCCGCAGAAGAAGCACCGGCUAACUCCGUGCCAGCAGCCGCGGUAAUACGGAGGGUGCAAGCGUUAAUCGGAAUUACUGGGCGUAAAGCGCACGCAGGCGGUCUGUCAAGUCGGAUGUGAAAUCCCCGGGCUCAACCUGGGAACUGCAUUCGAAACUGGCAGGCUAGAGUCUUGUAGAGGGGGGUAGAAUUCCAGGUGUAGCGGUGAAAUGCGUAGAGAUCUGGAGGAAUACCGGUGGCGAAGGCGGCCCCCUGGACAAAGACUGACGCUCAGGUGCGAAAGCGUGGGGAGCAAACAGGAUUAGAUACCCUGGUAGUCCACGCCGUAAACGAUGUCGAUUUGGAGGUUGUGCCCUUGAGGCGUGGCUUCCGGAGCUAACGC
rnacentral:rRNA from 1 species